GACGAACGCUGGCGGCGUGCUUAACACAUGCAAGUCGAACGAUGAAGCCGGAGCUUGCUCUGGUGAAUUAGUGGCGAACGGGUGAGUAACACGUGAGUAACCUGCCCUUGACUCUGGGAUAACUGCUAGAAAUGGUAGCUAAUACCGGAUACGACCCUCGGCGGCAUCGCCAGGGGGUGGAAAGAAUUUCGGUCAAGGAUGGACUCGCGGCCUAUCAGCUGGUUGGUGAGGUAACGGCUCACCAAGGCGACGACGGGUAGCCGGCCUGAGAGGGCGACCGGCCACACUGGGACUGAGACACGGCCCAGACUCCUACGGGAGGCAGCAGUGGGGAAUAUUGCACAAUGGGCGCAAGCCUGAUGCAGCAACGCCGCGUGAGGGAUGACGGCCUUCGGGUUGUAAACCUCUUUUAGUAGGGAAGAAGCGAAAGUGACGGUACCUGCAGAAAAAGCACCGGCUAACUACGUGCCAGCAGCCGCAGUAA
rnacentral:rRNA from 1 species